UGGGAGGCUGAGGCAGGAGAAUCGCUUGAACCUGGGAGGUGGAAGUUGCAGUGAGCCGAGAUCGUACCACUGCACUCCAGCCUGGGAGACAGAGUGAGGCUCCGUCUCAAAAAAAAAAAAAAAGAAAAGAGAGAGAGAGAAAGGACGAGUCACACAACACCCUCUGGGGAAGAAAACUGCAGCAGGGCCACGCAGGCUGGGGGCCGUGUCAGGGGUCCAAGACCAGCUGGCACUCCAACCAGCAUCUCCUGCCUCCAACACAGGACAUAGACACCCUGCCCCAUGACCCAGCACUGCAGGGCUGGGGUUGGCAAGUGCUCAGGCUGACACCUCCUGCUGCUGGUUCUCUCUGCCUCCUUCUCAACCUUCCCUAGGCCACUGCUCACAUGCAGGAUGGUGAAAGUUGCCUCCUCCCUGUCUGAGGACCCCACAAGGUCCACCCCCACCUACGAUGUCUGUCACUGUCACAUAGGAGGGACGCAUGUAGGCGGGACUCCAUACGCCAUGGCCAGGCCAACCCCCACCACUCCACCCCCACGAACGAUGUCUGUCACUGUCACAUAGGAGGGACGCACGUAGGCGGGACUCCACACGCCAUGGCCAGGCCAACCCCCGCCACUCCACCCCCACCUACGAAGUCUGUCACUGUCACAUAGGAGGGACGCACGUAAGUGGGACCCCACAUGCUAUGGCCAGGCCAACCCCCGCCUACGAUGUCUGUCACUGUCA
rnacentral:lncRNA from 1 species